rnacentral:rRNA from 1 species
GACAUCCAGAGAACUUGGCAGAGAUGCUUUGGUGCCUUCGGGAACUCUGAGACAGGUGCUGCAUGGCUGUCGUCAGCUCGUGUUGUGAAAUGUUGGGUUAAGUCCGCAACGAGCGCAACCCCUAUCCUUUGUUGCCAGCGAUUCGGUCGGGAACUCAAAGGAGACUGCCGGUGAUAAACCGGAGGAAGGUGGGGAUGACGUCAAGUCAUCAUGGCCCUUACGAGUAGGGCUACACACGUGCUACAAUGGCGCAUACAAAGAGAAGCGACCUCGCGAGAGCAAGCGGACCUCAUAAAGUGCGUCGUAGUCCGGAUCGGAGUCUGCAACUCGACUCCGUGAAGUCGGAAUCGCUAGUAAUCGUAGAUCAGAAUGCUACGGUGAAUACGUUCCCGGGCCUUGUACACACCGCCCGUCACACCAUGGGAGUGGGUUGCAAAAGAAGUAGAUAGCUUAACCUUCGGGAGGGCGUUUACCACUUUGUGAUUCAUGACUGGGGUGAAGUCGUAACAAGGUAGGCGUAGACGU